CAACUACCGUCGCAAUAAGCAUUACCAAAAGCGACUACUUUAAUUUCCGGUCCUUAAAUUAUAAUAAAGAUUAAUCCUUCUCUUUAAAACUUAAAUUGCGGUCGCUAUUCAAAUUUUAGAACGAGUCUCUAUUUUCUUACGUCACAAAAUUAGAAAAAUAAAAUUAAAAAAAUACAGUUUAGGUCUGGAGGCAAAGAAUUUCCCGCAAAGUGACGUUCUCUUUUCUCACUCUCUAACUUCCAUCGCUCGAUUUCUAUUGCUCGAUUUUAUUUUGCAUUGCUAUUAACUUCCCUCAUUCUCUUCUUCUCUUUAAUCUGUUGUUUUGCAGUUUUCAGCGAUGAAAUCACUAUGAGCUCUUUGUGAUCUCUUCAUUUCCGGCGAUGAAAGUACUGAUGGAGGUGGAGUCCGCUGCACAAACAGAGGGACAUUUGUUUCUUUCUUGAGGUCACUCUAGAAAUUUGGGAGAAACUUAAACAAUAAAUUGAAAUGGAGGAGGGCUGCUGGUGGGGCCUGCUACAUAACCAGGGGGACACUUUCCAUUAGAUACGAGAGAAGCAGGUUGACAGGGUCUCUGGACUUCUCAAGAACUUGAAGGUUUCAUUUCUUGAGCAGAUAACUUACAGUGUGACUAUGCCAAAAGGAUAACAAAUUGCAAUGUGUUUGCAGAUUUUUAUAUGUCAAAAUGAGCGGAAAAAUGCUUGAUAGAAACUUCUAUCAAUUCACUUCGUAUAAGCCUUAAGUAGCUAACAGAGACACUCUUGUUGAACUUCUGGGGUGAAUUGAUGUGAAGGAAUGACCUACUCGGAUGAUAAGCAAAUCUAUGUCAUUUAGAUCAGUGAACUUAAAUCAAAAUUUAAAUUGAUAUUGCAUCAUUGAAUUUUUGAAAAGUUGCAUUGUAAGGGUGCUAAAUUUGUGCACAUUAUCUCUUUCUAGUUUUAAGUGUCUGAAAUUUCAAAUUACAUCAGGAGAUUGAUGAACCUUUUUCACACUGCUGACAGAAAAUUGAUUAUAAAAGAUCUUUGUUUGGCGGUUGCAAA